rnacentral:rRNA from 1 species
GACGAACGCUGGCGGCGUGCUUAACACAUGCAAGUCGAGCGAUGAAGCUCCUUCGGGAGUGGAUUAGCGGCGGACGGGUGAGUAACACGUGGGUAACCUGCCUCAUAGAGGGGAAUAGCCUUUCGAAAGGAAGAUUAAUACCGCAUAAGAUUGUAGUACCGCAUGGUACAGCAAUUAAAGGAGUAAUCCGCUAUGAGAUGGACCCGCGUCGCAUUAGCUAGUUGGUGAGGUAACGGCUCACCAAGGCGACGAUGCGUAGCCGACCUGAGAGGGUGAUCGGCCACAUUGGGACGGAGACACGGCCCAGACUCCUACGGGAGGCAGCAGUGGGGAAUAUUGCACAAUGGGGGAAACCCUGAUGCAGCAACGCCGCGUGAGUGAUGACGGUCUUCGGAUUGUAAAGCUCUGUCUUUAGGGACGAUAAUGACGGUACCUAAGGAGGAAGCCACGGCUAACUACGUGCCAGCAGCCGCCGUAA